CGGAGUCCAGUGGCGAUAAUACCAAUUCAGUGCAAUAUAUAUAUAUAUAUAUAUAUAUUUCAACCUUUGAAAAAUAAUAUUGGAAAACUGUUAGAUCUGAGCGAUGAGUUUGAAUGGUACGGUUUUCUCUCAAUAUAUAAAUAGAAUAGUAGAAAAGCCAAAGGAAACCACCGCGGAGCAGUAAGUUUUCCUUCUUCCCAGUAGGAACCAUUUUACGAUCGCUCACCUCAAGGAGUUUGCAUCUUAAAGUCUCGUUUCUAGCCAGAGCUCGUUUACCGUGGAGUCCGCGAUAAGGUGCAUGUAUUUACGUGUUACAGUGCACCUGCGCAUACAAGUAUAGACAUACGGCACUGCAUAGAGAAGUGCAACGCCAAUAGCGGAAGGUUCUUCCAGAGCUGCAUACAUACAUUUAUUUAAGUGGAACGAGUGGGGGACGUUCGCUGGAAAUGGAGGUUGAGCUGAGAUGGUAGCGAAGGGCAUAAGAGAGACGGUUUGUGGCUGUUGAAGAGGUUAGUUGAAAGAUAUUAGUGAAGUAUCGAUGAAGGAUUUAAAUAUAGAAAUACGUACGUACUUGUUAAGAGUUCAGCCGGUCGGGUUACAGUGAGUUAAAUUGAAGGUCGUGGAAGGAUGAGAGUGACGGUCGUAGAGAGCAGUGAAACAUAGCCGUAAAUAAAGUUUAAUUAAACUUCUGAAGUCGACUGGUAGUAGGUAUCCUCCAGGAGUGAGAGAGACAGGUCCGGUACCCUCCAGACAGUGGAUGGGUUUAGUCGUUGGCAGUUUAGAUCACGCGGCAGAGGGGAUUGAUUGGAAUUAUUCGGUCUGCGGAGCGGCGUUGGAAAAAGUCAAAAUGGGGGAAUGGUGUUUGAAUUGGAAAAUCGAGUGGGAGAAUUGACAGGGUAGAUACGGGUUGUGGAGGUGGGCAGUUGUACGUGGGGAAACGUUGGCAGCGCCCCCCGUUACGCAUAUCACGGUAGCUACGAGAACCUGCCUGGGAUUAACCUCUAAAGCCUGAUGACGAAUAGCUCUGUCGUGAAUAAAUCGAAACGAAUCCGUAGAGAUGUUUCGUCGAUUCUCUACAAAACCCGACGGCCAUUGAAUAUCGAUUCUCGCUGGUAUAACGAUUUAAAUAACGCAAAUCCGGGCUAUAUCGUCGUCGCUUCUGAUUGGCUCGAGGAUAAGGUAUUGUAGUAACAGAUAUUCUAAGCCUGCGAUGCAUCAUGGGAAACGUGUCCACCGGUGGCGCCGCCAUCAGUGUGUCUAACGUACUAUCAGGGUCUUAUAGUGUAUGCGUGUUAACUCUGAUCCGUCCUCUUUGUCCCAACGAAGAGUGAAGUUGCCGCGUUCGAGAGGAAAUUUUCGUUUCGUUUGCUCGCCAAAAUCUAGUGAUUUCAAAGUGUGUCACGAAAGUUGACAAUAACCCAGAAAUCCAGACUGUGCCACCGCUCGACGCGUUUUCUAUGGUGCACUGUACGAUUACAAUGUCAGGUUCUAAUAAUACCGCUGGAAGGAAGCGACGGUGCUGCCAUCUGUAUUAUCUUUUCGUAGCCUCUAUCCCGUGACGGUUGCUAAAAUAUUUGUGUCAUUAUUUCGUGUAGAUUCAGGAUGAAAUUAGGGAGGUUAUUUGGCCGCAGGAUAAUUUGCUUAACAGAGAUAUAAAUACACGGUGGCAGAUAGACUUUUGUGUUUCCGUUUCUCGACGGCGUCGGCAUUCACGGUUGUAAGCGGGAGCUUUUAAAUCGAUGAACUCACCACGGCCACUAUGAAUUAUGAAACUUGUAAUUCAUGGAUGUCCAUGGAGCGUGAACGAGCAGUCUGAAACUCUGCUCCCCCCUUUUGCAGGGUCGACCACUUCAAUUACGAGGUUCGUAAAUUAGCAAUUCGAGCCCCACCUCUCUUUUCUAUUCCGAAAAAAAAGUAUGUUUCCAACUUUGUUUUCCUAUUCUUCUUACUCAGCUAUACCUUUGAUUACCAAGAUCGGAAAAAAGGUUUAGCACGGGGAAAUUCUCGAUAAAUGGAAAAUAGGCUAUUCGCGAGAAAUCCGAGCUUUACUCUAAACCCAUGUCGCACGACACGAUCGGAAUUGAACUUAGUACAUUAGGCAGGAUUAUAUUUCAGUAUGAUGGCAACCCUUACGAAAUUGAAUGUGUAUUGGUACACCUGCUAAUGCCAUUACUAGAUAAUAACGGUCUGUAAUGGUUAUAAAUAAAUAAAAAUAUUCGACAACCUUUAUC